rnacentral:rRNA from 1 species
GCAAGUCGAACGGUAACAGAGAAGAGCUUGCUCUUUUGCUGACGAGUGGCGCACGGGUGCGUAACGCGUAUACAAUCUACCUUUUACAGGGGGAUAGCCUUUAGAAAUGAAGAUUAAUACCCCAUAGUAAGUAAUUAUGGCAUCAUAGUAACUUUAAAAUUUCGAUGGUAAAAGAUGAGUAUGCGUUCUAUUAGCUAGAUGGUAAGGUAACGGCUUACCAUGGCAACGAUAGGUAAGGGUCCUGAGAGGGAGAUC